rnacentral:lncRNA from 1 species
AAAAAAUCUUCUAGGAGCAGCUAACAAGAAUCCUAAUACAGGAGUGUUUAUGGUUGGGUUGAGACACAUUCAGUAGCUGAGUGAUUGACAGCAAGAGGAGCAAGACAUGAGGUUAAUAAUUAUCAAAUAUAUGGCAAUGCUGGACUUUAGCUGAUCAUCGUGCUUCUGGAAAACAACAAAAAUUGAGAUAUCUGUUCACCACUUUGUGUGUCCAAGGACCACCUACUUUUUACAUGUGACAAGAACUACCCACCUCCACUCUUCAGGAUAGAACAUGCUGAAGAAAAGAGUUGCAAUGAGAAAAUAUAUGGGAACAAAAUACCUAUGCAAUGCAGAAGUCUGCAUAACUGAACCACUCAGAGGAAAAAGAUUGCCAUUUCAGGACACCUCCUACAUCUGAGGAAAUAUGCAUUGAUCUUGCAGUACUUUUCUCCUCCAAAUAAAAGUCAGUAUGAUAACAACUACACUAUCAGAACUUAUCAAGGGAACUAAACAGGUGGCUUUACAAGAAGAGUAAGAGA